UUUUUUUUUUUUUUUUGUAAUGUCUACAUAUACGUAGAUGAAUUGUAUCGAAAUACAAUAAACCGCAUCCGGGAUUCUUUCUUUCAAGAAAGUUUAUCAUCUAACCGAAAGUCAUGCAAGCAUAACUCCGGACGUUUAGACAAUAAAGCUUAAAUGAAUGAGCAAAGAAUUCCCGUUAGGAACAUCACGAACUGCUCGCUUCCAAAGUAACCUGAGAAAAGAAAAAAUAAACAAAACAUAAAUCCAUAUCCAAUAAAAACAUAUAUAUUAAUAUAUAUAGAAACUUAACUAAUAUAAAAAGAUGGUAAAUCUAAAAAAACAAAAUAAGAGUGUAUAAAUCAGAAUAGACAGGAAGUAAAAAUAAAGUAGAAAUAUUAAUAAAUUAAAAAAGAAAACUAACCAAAGGGAAACCCUUUGGUUAGACAUUAAAAAUUAAUAAUUAUAUAGUUGAAAAUCUUAGCACCCUUUUAAAUACUAUUAUAAUGCAAUUAUUAAAACUGCUUAAAAGACUUUCCAUAAAAUACUCCACCAAAAUAAAUUAACUGAGUCACUAUAAUCCACUGAAUUGUUUAUAUACAAUUAUAAUAAUUAGGGGCAAUUAAGAAGAUGGGUUUGUCACAUGACGCUGCUCCGAUUUUCAAAUCCUAUGGGGUUCCUCAUGGUUCAACUGGUAUGCCCUUCUAUUACAAUUAUUUACAAUAUUCUUUCUUUUUCUCAUGAUUUUGAGUGGAAUUGCGAAAGGUGUUGAUUUUAAUCUUGUUUGUUUGUGUGUAUUUGUUUGUUUAUUUAAUCCCUGUGUUUUGUUUGAUUUUUGGUGUUUUUGGGGGUUUUCGUGUUACAUGUGAUACGCUUCGUUGUUCGCUUCGCAUACGACGAGGCAACUUGAUCGAUAGCAUAGCGGUGGUGGCGGCGGUGACGGCGGUUUCAGGACGGGAUCCGGUUUCAGAAAGAAAAGCGCGCUAAUUGUGCCUUAAUUGAGGGCGGUAAUUGUGCCUCGUUAAUUAUGCCUCUUUAUUGAGGGCGUAAAUUGUGUCUCAAUUAUUGAGGGCGUAAAUUGUUCCUCUUUAUUGAGGGCGUUAAUUGGGCCUUAUUUGAGGGCGUUAAUUGUGUCUUAAUUAAGGAUAUUAAUAUUUUAUUAUUAUGCCUUAAUUAAGAGCUUAAUUGUCUCAAUCAUGAGUUAUCAUGAUUGUGGGAAUAUUUUGAUGUAAUCUCCACCAAAAUAAAUUAACUGAGUCACUAUAAUCCACUGAAUUGUUUAUAUACAAUUAUAAUGUAAUCAAUUGCUCCUCAAAUUAAGCACCUGAUUUUUUCUUUGUUUCAAUAUUUUAAAUAAAAAUACCUAUUUACCAUUUACAUAUUCUGUAUACAUUUAUUACAUAAAUAUUCACUCUCGGUGAUAAUCCUUCUUUGUCUUAUUUAAAGGAAUUAAACUUUUCAACUUAAUUUCACAACUUUUUCAAUAUAAGUUCAAAAUUGUCGGUUUUUUUAAAUCCUCUUACUACUCCUGGCUGAAGAUUAGCAGCCUUAAACAUUUUUAAAUGUGGUAGUUACUUACCAUAUCAGAAUCCCUUAGCUACUAUUAAAAACUUUUAAUAAUUAUGCAAUUAUUAUCUUAAUUAGACAUGUCAAUUAUCCUUAAAAUCUUCCUAUCUAUUAAUAGUUGAUUAUCUAUUAAUUAGAGUAACCCGACAAUUUGAAAAUUUUUGAGCGGAUACAAAUAUACUUCAAGUCAGCAAAAUACAUGCUAAAAUUCUCUAACAGUCUCAGAGUCUAACUUUUACUGCUAUUGCUAUUAUUAGAGUUAACAAUUUGUUAAGCUUUGGCCUUCACCAAAUUUUGUUAUCUAGGAUUUAGCCAGAGCAUUAUUAUCGCCAAUUACCUUGCAUCAUUCAUCGGAAUUUAAGAUAGUACACAUAAAAUAGAUAGAAGCCUAAUCUUGAGUUCUUUAUUAAACAAUGUCAAACCGACAUGACUUUUACUUGGAUCAUCCAAGACCAAACGCCAUCAAUGGCAUCAAAAACCUCUAUAAGGUACCAAUGUAACCACCACCUUAAAGUAAAAUCUGAACCAUCUCCAUAGAUUCCACGAUUAGUCUAUUUUCAUAGUACUAUGCAUUCUGCCAGUAAUAUAUCCUUAAACAUUCUGCAAGAAUUCCAGUUAAUAGCAAAGCAAAACCAACCUAAAAAUAUGGUAUAAUUGAUUCUAAAAGAGUCAAAAUCAUCUUCGUUAAGGUGAGAAAUGCAACAAUAAAGACAAGGAUUACUGAUACCCCCUUUUCUCAUCUAUCAACCUUUUACCAAACCACAUUAAAACUAACCAAUCCAAUUCAAAAUAUUCUGAUCUUAAUCACCCUUAUAAUUUAUCUAGCUCAUCGGUAACAAAUAAGCUAAUAUACUAAUACCCAAUCGAUGAUAAUCAUGAUUUCAAAACAAAGAUCUUAGUAAAAUAUACAAUUUAAGGGAGCAUUUUAUUAUGAUUAUUCAUAUAUUAAUCCAACUAAUAGUGAUACUUGGACAGUGUUAGAAGAUGUGAAAGUAGAUGAUGAGCAUGAUGAUGAGGAAGAACAAAAGAUCAAGAAACAAGCAGCAACAAAAGAAUUUAUGCAACAAAAUAAACACAAAGCAUAAACGUAAACACACACACAAACAUGGACAUAUAAACAGAAUCAACAGAAAUAUAUACCAUCAAUCCUCCUGGAAAAACAGCCACCAAUCAGCAAACCAUCUUUGUCCCGGAACUUUCGGAGCUCCGACCGGAACAGAGGGGGCCAAAUUAGACUUCAAGACAGAGUAGACUGGGUGUGUUACGUGUGUAGGUGUGGAGAUUACUCUGGCCGUUGAAAAAUCGGGCAGCGCGUAAUGACUUCCAAUUACUUGAAUGCAUAAAGUAACCAAAGUUGGAACAGGUUUUCGCUUCUCAACUGUUAAUAUGGGCGAUUGGAUAGUAUGGGCACUGGUAGACUUAUUGGAAUUAGGGUUCAAAUUAAGCUUCUGGAACGACGUCUGCAGAGCUUUCCCUUUAUCCAUUCAGUAAGACAAGAGCGCUCUUCCG
rnacentral:lncRNA from 1 species